UACAGAGGUCCCAAGCGUUGUUCGGAUUUACUGGGCGUAAAGGGUGCGUAGGCGGUUGUUUAAGUCUGACGUGAAAUCUCCGGGCCUAACCCGGAAACUGCGUUGGAUACUAUUCAACUAGAGGAAUGGAGGGGAGACUGGAAUACUUGGUGUAACAGUGAAAUGCGUAGAUAUCAAGUGGAACACCAGUGGCGAAGGCGAGUCUCUGGACAUUUCCUGACGCUGAGGCACGAAGGUCAGGGGAGCAAACGGG
rnacentral:rRNA from 1 species